ACUGUAUGUCCUCCCGGUUGAAGUAAUCGUUGAUGUUAUACAAGGUGGCUGCAGCUUCGCAGGGCAGAGAAUUCUCGGGGAAAUUGCAGGUCAAGGACGACUGGAAAGGAGAAAGAGACAUCGCAGUGUCUUCGGCGUGACCUCCUCCGCCCUUCCACGACUCGUCAGGAGAGACUCGACUCCUCUCGUCUACGAACUGCCUUCCAACGCCUCCCUCGUCCUGGGCCAGAUCAGGAAUGGAUUCGACUGUGCCAACCGUCCAUACGGUUAUUACGCCGACCAAGCCAAUGGCUGCGCCGUGUUUCACGUGUGUUACCCUUACGUCGACCCCGAAGGGAAUUCCUUCACCAGGAUGUUUUCUUUCCUCUGUGGCCAAGGAUCCGUUUUUGAUCAGUCAACGCUAACUUGCAAUUUCCCAGAAUUGGCUCUUCCGUGCGAUGCUGCAGCGACAUAUUACAACAUCAACGACUACUUUGGGAGAGAAAACGUUCAGUUUAGGGAUGGAUCCGUCAAUGGAAUCUUUUAGAAAAUGUGAACCAAAUGUAUUAUCCGCUGGUUGUACCAUGUUAUAACACUAUUCCUGAACUGUAUACGUGUGUGUGUGUGAGUGUGUGUUUAUUCUGUAGUCUUGUGUGUCUGGUUGCGCGAAUGCGUGUACAUGCAAGGAGUUUGUGUACAUGUGUGCUUUGAUUC